rnacentral:rRNA from 1 species
AUUGAACGCUGGCGGUAGGCCUAACACAUGCAAGUCGAGCGGAUGAAGGGAGCUUGCUCCUGGAUUCAGCGGCGGACGGGUGAGUAAUGCCUAGGAAUCUGCCUGGUAGUGGGGGGUAACGUCCGGAAACGGGCGCUAAUACCGCAUACGUCCUGAGGGAGAAAGUGGGGGAUCUUCGGACCUCACGCUAUCAGAUGAGCCUAGGUCGGAUUAGCUAGUUGGUGGGGUAAAGGCCUACCAAGGCGACGAUCCGUAACUGGUCUGAGAGGAUGAUCAGUCACACUGGAACUGAGACACGGUCCAGACUCCUACGGGAGGCAGCAGUGGGGAAUAUUGGACAAUGGGCGAAAGCCUGAUCCAGCCAUGCCGCGUGUGUGAAGAAGGUCUUCGGAUUGUAAAGCACUUUAAGUUGGGAGGAAGGGCAGUAAGUUAAUACCUUGCUGUUUUGACGUUACCAACAGAAUAAGCACCGGCUAACUUCGUG